GCGGCAGACGGGUGAGUAACACGUGGGAACGUACCCUUUGGUUCGGAAUAACGCUGGGAAACUAGCGCUAAUACCGGAUACGCCCUUUUGGGGAAAGGCUUGCUGCCGAAGGAUCGGCCCGCGUCUGAUUAGCUAGUUGGUGGGGUAAUGGCCUACCAAGGCGACGAUCAGUAGCUGGUCUGAGAGGAUGAUCAGCCACACUGGGACUGAGACACGGCCCAGACUCCUACGGGAGGCAGCAGUGGGGAAUAUUGGACAAUGGGCGCAAGCCUGAUCCAGCCAUGCCGCGUGAGUGAUGAAGGCCUUAGGGUUGUAAAGCUCUUUUGUCCGGGACGAUAAUGACGGUACCGGAAGAAUAAGCCCCGGCUAACUUCGUGCCAGCAG
rnacentral:rRNA from 1 species